CCCCGCGACCCGGCCCUGGAUAAGCGGAAGAAGAUGGUAUGAUACAGCACAACGCAACCCCACUGACAUGGCAGAGGGAAUGUCCUAGCACAUGGACGCAGAAGGUGCACAGCAGAUGGAAGGAGAGUCCUCAGAAACAGCCACUAAUGUAGCCAACGUGAUGACUGCAGAUGAAGAUGGAGGCAAUUUGUGCUCUGUCUGCCGCAUCUAUUUUGAUGACAAGAAGAAGAAAGCUACAAAGAAGUGGCGUUCAUGGUCUCAGUGCUCAGUGUGCCAAUCAUGGUCCCACACUGCCUGUGGUUUUAAAAUAAACAUGUGCCUUCAUUGCCAGGGUCAACACACCAUGCAAACACCCUGAUUUCUAGUAUAUAUCUAGGUCCGUUGCCACUGAAAAUUCCACGGAUGUCCCUCGUUUUCGGAUGAUGUCCGUCUCCUUCCUCUUUUUUUGUGUUGGCGUUCUAACCUCCGGAGGAUUUCUGAGGACUAUGGUUAACUGCUCCUCAGAUCUCUGCAGGGUAAAUCCAGACGGCUAGCUAGACUAUCUGUCCGAUCUGAGUUUUCUGUUGGAUGAAUAAAACAAC